rnacentral:rRNA from 1 species
CCGCUCAGGAUGAACGCUGGCGGCGUGCUUAACACAUGCAAGUCGAACGAUGAUCCCUGGCUUGCUGGGGGGAUUAGUGGCGAACGGGUGAGUAACACGUGAGUAACCUGCCCUUGACUCUGGGAUAAGCCUGGGAAACUGGGUCUAAUACCGGAUACGACCGCUCCACGCAUGUGGUGGUGGUGGAAAGCUUUUGCGGUUUUGGAUGGACUCGCGGCCUAUCAGCUUGUUGGUGGGGUAAUGGCCUACCAAGGCGACGACGGGUAGCCGGCCUGAGAGGGUGACCGGCCACACUGGGACUGAGACACGGCCCAGACUCCUACGGGAGGCAGCAGUGGGGAAUAUUGCACAAUGGGCGAAAGCCUGAUGCAGCGACGCCGCGUGAGGGAUGACGGCCUUCGGGUUGUAAACCUCUUUCAGUAGGGAAGAAGCGAAAGUGACGGUACCUGCAGAAGAAGCGCCGGCUAACUACGUGCCAGCAGCCGCGGUAAUACGUAGGGCGCAAGCGUUAUCCGGAAUUAUUGGGCGUAAAGAGCUCGUAGGCGGUUUGUCGCGUCUGCUGUGAAAGACCGGGGCUCAACUCCGGUUCUGCAGUGGGUACGGGCAGACUAGAGUGAUGUAGGGGAGACUGGAAUUCCUGGUGUAGCGGUGAAAUGCGCAGAUAUCAGGAGGAACACCGAUGGCGAAGGCAGGUCUCUGGGCAUUAACUGACGCUGAGGAGCGAAAGCAUGGGGAGCGAACAGGAUUAGAUACCCUGGUAGUCCAUGCCGUAAACGUUGGGCACUAGGUGUGGGGGACAUUCCACGUUUUCCGCGCCGUAGCUAACGCAUUAAGUGCCCCGC